rnacentral:rRNA from 1 species
GAUGAACGCUGACAGAAUGCUUAACACAUGCAAGUCUACUUGAACUUCGGUUUGGGUGGCGGACGGGUGAGUAACGCGUAAAGAACUUGCCUCACAGUUAGGGACAACAUUUGGAAACGAAUGCUAAUACCUGAUAUUAUGAUUUUAGGGCAUCCUAAAAUUAUGAAAGCUAUAUGCGCUGUGAGAGAGCUUUGCGUCCCAUUAGCUAGUUGGAGAGGUAACGGCUCACCAAGGCGAUGAUGGGUAGCCGGCCUGAGAGGGUGAACGGCCACAAGGGGACUGAGACACGGCCCUUACUCCUACGGGAGGCAGCAGUGGGGAAUAUUGGACAAUGGACUAAAAGUCUGAUCCAGCAAUUCUGUGUGCACGAUGACGUUUUUCGGAAUGUAAAGUGCUUUCAGUUGGGAAGAAAAAAAUGACGGUACCAACAGAAGAAGAGACGGCUAAAUACGUG